UACGGGGGGGGCAAGCGUUGUUCGGAAUUACUGGGCGUAAAGGGCUCGUAGGCGGCCAACUAAGUCAGACGUGAAAUCCCCAGGCUUAACCUGGGAACUGCGUCUGAUACUGGAUGGCUUGAAUUCGGGAGAGGGAUGCAGAAUUCCAGGUGUAGCGGUGAAAUGCGUAGAUAUCGGGAGGAACACCUGUGGCGAAGGCGGCCCCCUGGUUGGAUACUGACGCUGAGACGCGAAAGCGUGGGGAGCAAACAGG
rnacentral:rRNA from 1 species